rnacentral:sRNA from 1 species
GCCAGGUGCAGUGGCAUGCACUUGUAGUCCCAGCACUUGGGAGGCUGAGGUGGGAAGAUCACUGGGGCCCCGGAUCAAGGCCAGCUUGGGCAACACAGUGAGACCCUGUCUCAA